AACGAACGCUGGCGGCGUGCCUAACACAUGCAAGUCGAACGCGAAAGCCUGGGCAACUGGGCGAGUAGAGUGGCGCACGGGUGAGUAACACGUGGGUAACCUACCUUCGAGUGGGGAAUAACUCCUCGAAAGGGGAGCUAAUACCGCAUAAGACCACGACCUCUUUGGGGGUCGCGAUCAAAGGUGGCCUCAUCAAGCGGAGUGUUUGGGACGAUCUUCCCGAGUGGAGGAUGGUCCUUAGCGCUUUGCCCAGUGAAGCUGUUGCUCGAAGAGGGGCCCGCGUCCCAUCAGCUAGUUGGUAGGGUAACGGCCUACCAAGGCGACGACGGGUAGCUGGUCUGAGAGGACGACCAGCCACACGGGAAUUGAGAUACGGUCCCGACUCCUACGGGAGGCAGCAGUGGGGAA
rnacentral:rRNA from 1 species